AGCUCCAAUAACGUAUAUUAAAGUUGUUGCGGUAAAAAGCUCGUAGUUGGAUUUCUGUUGAGGACGACCGGUCCAUACCAUGUAUGCGCAUCUGGCUCGGCCUUGGCAUCCUCUCGAUGGACGUUUCUGCGCUUGAUUGCGUGGUGCGGACUUCGGGACUUUUACUUUGAGGAAAUUGGAGUGUUCACGGCAGGCCUUCGCCAGAACAUAUUAGCAUGGAAUAAUACUAUAGGAUCUUGGUUCUAUUUUGUUGGUUUCUAGAACUGAGGUAAUGAUUAAUAGGGACAAUUGGGGGCAUUCGUAUCAACGCGUCAGAGGUGGAAUUCUUGGAUUGCGUUGCGACGAACUACUGCGAAAGCAUUUGCCAAGGAUGUUUUCA
rnacentral:rRNA from 1 species